AUCACUUGCAUAGAAACGGAGUACCAUGUAGCAUGGCGUACACUACCCCCCAACGUUCGGACCAGCUUGUGGUUUCGAUCUAAAAAGCAAAAAAAAAAGCUUUCAUGAAACAGGAGACACUCUCUGGAUAUAGCUGUCCCGUUUAAACAGGCCUUAAGCAAAGACUCUAUAGAGUCUUUGCCUUAAGGCAUCAAAAUAAUUUCCCCAUACUCCUUCAAAUAUUGACGUUGUGCAACACUUUUUUAAACUUUCAUUCUACCUUCGGGAAUAUUCCUUUGCACAGCUGUCAAGGAAAUCAUUGGAAACGUCGUGAUCGACAUAGCGAAAUGGCGACUAAAAAGAGCGACAUGCCAGCUGGUGCUGAGUUGCCGCCAAAGCCGGAGCCGGAGCCAGGGAGCAGCGAUGGAGCAGGAGAAACGUGCCCAAUUUGCUUGGGUCCGAAAGUGAAUCCUAUGGCAUUGCCAUGCACUCACUCGUUCUGUAUGAUCUGCUUGGAGUUUCUGGCUGUAAAUACAUUUUUGCGCGAUCUGGGUGAUGGGCUAUUGGAAAUGCAGCGUUGUCCGGUGUGCCGCAACUGGUUUUGCAUUUCGCAAACAUUUGCCAAUUUCCAGUCAUAAUUCUGAAGGAUGUGAAUACAAUACGUACCUGGCAUACCUGUAUCCUGAAAUUAUACACAAAACCAAAAUAAAUUCCCAUUUAAAUAA